CGCCCUCUCAGUUUUAAAAGCCAAUGAAAGGUGCAGGAAGUGAAGAUAGGCGGGAUUUAGAGAUGAUAGGCUUGGAGAGAAACCAGUCAACUGCCAGGCGGGCUCGCUGAGACGUAGGGAUAGGAAGGGUUUUCAUUGGAAUGACAGAACAGCGACCAACCAAAACCCUGGGCAAGCCUGGGCAAAGUCCUGGUGGGAGGUGGUAAAAAGUAGACAGGAAUGGGAUAGGAUGAAGCUUAUCAAAACCAAUCAGAAAUCAGGCGGGCGGCCAGGAAAAUUAUGAUUGGAUUAACACUGAAAAGAGACGCGCUAGGACACAAAUUGACGUGAAUAAAAGCCAAUUGAAUGCUGCUUAAACUGUGAGGGCGGGAACCUGGAGUAGGCAGGGGAGAAUUGGCGGCUGCUUCAGUCACUCAGCCCAAUGAGGCAGCGAGGGAAGCCAGGCACCGCCUCCGGCUUGGCCAAUGGGCGUUACUAGAGGCGCCAGUUGUCGGGGAGGUAACAGGGCUGUGCCAAGAGGAGUCCGUCGCCAUUUUGGCCCUCCUCUGGGGACGUCUUUACCGUGAUUAGGUGGCAAGGCUUCAGCAGAGCCCUGCAAUUCAACAAGUGUCAGGGCCGAGCCCCGCGGCGCGUCGCAUUUCUUCCUCGACAUCAGGGCUUGUUUGAGUCUUCACUUAACCGCUUUUAAAAGUACCUCUCAGGUCUCCCCCCUCCGCGGUGGGCGGACUGGCAGGCGGAUGCCUCAGAAUAUGGUGUAACCCCUGUGGGUGCUGGCGCAAGGAGAUCUGGCGAGGGCGCUCAUACAGUAGGUUAAUAACGCACUGACCAAUUUGCAAGGUCUUUGUGAGACUCCAGCAAACGCCAUUUUACUAAAUUCCCCCAAAGUUGAUAGCUACUUAAGGCCGGUUAACUCUUCGAGAGCUUGCUUUUGAGGCUAAAGAGUGUUGGAGGACUUCCUGGAGUUCGAGGUCCUGUUCUAUGUUGCCACUUCAUUAUCUACAACUCGGCACUUCUCCAUAUUACUAUCAUGUCUUAAAGUAUGGAUUCCCGAAAACUGAGGCCUCUACUGCUUUGGGCAAAGCCUGAAGAAGGUCAUGAAAGAAAAAAAUCCUGCCCAUACUUCCAAGACAGCUCAAAUAGCAUAAUCCUCUGGUAUGACUUUAUUAUAAAACAUCUCAUUACAUUUCAAUUAAUAGCAUCUCUCCCUAUAUGAAAGUUUCUCAUAAUAUCAGGAUAUCUAUCCUAUCCUCUGGGUUGCCUUAUUAUUUAUUCAUUAAUUUUGGCCCCUGCAUAAAUUCCCCACCUGGGAUGGAACCCAAGCCAUAGCAGUGGCAACACUGAAUCCUUAAUGGCCAGGCCACCAGGAAGCUCCAGGCUGCUUUUUUUUUUUUUUUUUUAAAGUAGAUCCCCAGACCCUGUCUAAGACCUAAUAAAUUAGAUUCUCUGGGCUAGGGCUUGAGAAUAUGCAUUUUUCAGUAGCUAUUCAAGGGAUUGGUCCUGAAAUUAAGAGUU